rnacentral:rRNA from 1 species
AACGAACGCUGGCGGCAUGCCUAACACAUGCAAGUCGAACGAGACCUUCGGGUCUAGUGGCGCACGGGUGCGUAACGCGUGGGAACCUGCCCUUAGGUUCGGACUAACUCCCCGAAAGGGGUGCUAAUACCGGAUCAUGUCUUCGGACCAAAGAUUUAUCGCCUUUGGAUGGGCCCGCGUUGGAUUAGCUAGUUGGUAGGGUAAAAGCCUACCAAGGCGACGAUCCAUAGCUGGUCUGAGAGGAUGAUCAGCCACACUGGGAGUGAGACACGGCCCAGACUCUUACGGGAGGCAGCAGUGGGGAAUAUUGGACAAUGGGCGAAAGCCUGAUCCAGCAAUGCCGCGUGAGUGAUGAAGGCCUGAGGGUAGUAAAGCUCUUUUACCCGGGAUGAUAAUGACAGUACCGGGAGAAUAAGCUCCGGCUAACUCCGUG